GUAGCCUUUGGUAUCCAGACAAACUACACCAAACAGGGGCCAAGAAGCUGUGCCUCUUGUGGUGGUGUCACGGACUCCAACUGGACUGUAACCACACCUGAAUGCAGGACAGAGCGUGCUCUCCCAACCUACAGGUUGCAGUCUGAAGCAGGACAGUUCAAAUGCAGUGUAUCUGGACUACGCUGGGUUUGUAAGAAAAAAGUCAUCUUCACAUACCAGUUUAAAUCUUGGGAGGAACACCGACAGAAGCUGAACUUGGUGCAUUGCAAAC